UACGAAGGGGGCUAGCGUUGUUCGGAAUUACUGGGCGUAAAGGGUCCGUAGGCGGUGUGGCAAGUCGGAAGUGAAAUCUCAGGGCUUAACCCUGAGGCUGCUUCUGAAACUGCCGUGCUAGAGUGCGAGAGAGGCGAGUGGAAUUGCAGGAGUAGCGGUGAAAUGCGUAGAUAUCUGGAGGAACACCCAAGGCGAAAGCGGCUCGCUGGAUCGCAACUGACGCUGAGGGACGAAAGCGAGGGGAGCAAACAGG
rnacentral:rRNA from 1 species